CCACGUGGGUGAUCCGCGUGCGCGCGAUCGGAUGGCCCAGAUCCGUUCCCGCGCGCACGGACGAUCCAGAUCAAAAGCGCACACGGACGGCCCAGAUCUCACGCGUGCAGACGGCCUAGAUUGAAUCAUGCAUGGACGACCCAGAUCGUAUCACGAUGGACGGUCCAAAUUCAUUUUCAAUUUAAUCGCGAUCGGACGACCCAGAUUAAAUCGUGA
rnacentral:lncRNA from 1 species